rnacentral:rRNA from 1 species
UACGUAGGGUGCAAGCGUUGUCCGGAAUUAUUGGGCGUAAAGAGCUCGUAGGCGGUCUGUUGCGUCGGCUGUGAAAACCCGGGGCUCAACUCCGGGCCUGCAGCCGAUACGGGCAGACUAGAGUUCGGCAGGGGAGACUGGAAUUCCUGGUGUAGCGGCGAAAUGCGCAGAUAUCAGGAGGAACACCGGUGGCGAAGGCGGGUCUCUGGGCCGAUACUGACGCUGAGGAGCGAAAGCGUGGGGAGCGAACAGG